rnacentral:lncRNA from 1 species
ACAGGUAAAGCAGGACAAAAGAAAAUUACAUUCCAGAGUUGGCCCUCUUUGACAAGUCAUCUUACUUAAGGUUGACAGCUUACAGUGAGGCACCUCAGAAAAUGUCCAAGCUGAAAAAUAUCAGCGUGCCGAGCGGGGAGUGCAGCAGGAGGCGGCGGGGGCUCUGGGGGAAAGCUGCGGCCUAAAGGAGAUAAAAAUAAGAUGUGCCAAUGACAAAGAUGCAUUGACCUGCAUCAGGCACAAAGAAAGACGCCCUUGACCAGCGUGGGCACACGGGCUGAAGGAAGGCUCGGUCAUCGCCACUUCGUCACUCAUCAACCUGCCGCCUGCAUCACCAGCUGCUGCACUGCUCAAGUCUAUGUUUGGAUCACUUAAAGUGAUGGUUUGUGCAAAAAUGAUUCUGGUUUCCUAUUAACUUACA